GUGCCAGCCAGCCGCGGUAAUACGUAGGGCGCAAGCGUUGUCCGGAAUUAUUGGGCGUAAAGAGCUCGUAGGCGGUUUGUCGCGUCUGCUGUGAAAACUCGAGGCUCAACCUCGGGCUUGCAGUGGGUACGGGCAGACUAGAGUGCGGUAGGGGUGACUGGAAUUCCCUGGUGUAGCGGUGGAAUGCGCAGAUAUCAGGAGGAACACCGAUGGCGAAGGCAGGUCACUGGGCCGCAACUGACGCUGAGGAGCGAAAGCAUGGGGAGCGAACAGGAUUAGAUACCCUGGUAGUCC
rnacentral:rRNA from 1 species